UACACAGCGAGCAUUCUUCCCGAGAGCAGCUCCCAGAAGGGCCUCCGAUACGUUGAGCCUCACGCUAAAACACAAAGCCGUGGUGGAUGGAAGGAAAAGUGAAGCCCAGAGAAGUUGAUCAAUCUGCCCAGGGACACGCAGCGACAGAGGAGGUGAAGGUUUUCUCCUUGGAAUAUUGAAGAGGAAAUAUGCAUUAGAAAUACGUCAAGUCAUGGGGCGCCUGGGUGGUUCACUCAGUUAAGCGUCUGACUACGGCUCAGGUCAU